rnacentral:rRNA from 1 species
AUUGAACGCUGGCGGCAGGCCUAACACAUGCAAGUCGAGCGGAUGAAGGGAGCUUGCUCCUGGAUUCAGCGGCGGACGGGUGAGUAAUGCCUAGGAAACUGCCUGGUAGUGGGGGAUAACGUCCGGAAACGGGCGCUAAUACCGCAUACGUCCUGAGGGAGAAAGUGGGGGAUCUUCGGACCUCACGCUAUCAGAUGAGCCUAGGUCGGAUUAGCUAGUUGGUGGGGUAAAGGCCUACCAAGGCGACGAUCCGUAACCGGUCUGAGAGGAUGAUCAGUCACACUGGAACUGAGACACGGUCCAGACUCCUACGGGAGGCAGCAGUGGGGAAUACUGGACAAUGGGCGAAAGCCUGAUCCAGCCAUGCCGCGUGUGUGAAGAAGGUCUUCGGAUUGUAAAGCACUUUAAGUUGGGAGGAAGGGCAGUAAGUUAAUACCUUGCUGUUUUGACGUUACCAACAGAAUAAGCACCGGCUAACUUCGUG